rnacentral:tRNA from 1 species
AGUUAUAUAAUUUAAAUAAAAUAUUAAUUUUGUAAAUUAAAAAUAAAAUCUUUUUUAUAACUA